rnacentral:rRNA from 1 species
UGCGCAGGCGGACUUUUAAGUCAGCGGUGAAAUCCCGAGGCUCAACCUCGGAACUGCCAUUGAUACUGGAAGUCUUGAAUUUGGUUGAAGUGGGCGGAAUGUAGCAUGUAGCGGUGAAAUGCUUAGAUAUGCUACAGAACACCGAUCGCGAAGGCAGCUCACUAAGCCAAUAUUGACGCUCAGGCACGAAAGCGUGGGGAGCAAACAGGAUUAGAUACCCUGGUAGUC